rnacentral:rRNA from 1 species
UACAGAGGGGGCAAGCGUUGUUCGGAAUUACUGGGCGUAAAGGGCGCGUAGGCGGCCUGUUAAGUCGAACGUGAAAUCCCUGGGCUCAACCCAGGAACUGCGUCCGAUACUGGCAGGCUUGAAUUCGGGAGAGGGAUGCGGAAUUCCAGGUGUAGCGGUGAAAUGCGUAGAUAUCUGGAGGAACACCGGUGGCGAAGGCGGCAUCCUGGACCAAUUCUGACGCUGAGGAGCGAAAGCCAGGGGAGCAAACGGG